rnacentral:rRNA from 1 species
CAUGCAAGUCGAACGAGGAUAUAUCCUUCGGGAUAUAAGCCGAGUGGCGCAAGGGUGAGUAAUGCAUAGAUUACCUGCCUCUAGGAUAAGGACAACUUUGUGAAAACGAAGCUAAUACUUAAUAAUACAAGUGGAAAUAAUUUCCAUUUGUCAAUGGGAGGGUAGCAAUAUCUUUUGCCUGGAGAGGGGUUUAUGUCCUAUCAGCUUGUUGGUGGGGUAAUGGCCUACCAAGGCGAAGACGGGUAGCCGGUCUUAGAGGAUGGUCGGCCACACUGGGACUGAGACACUGCCCAGACUUCUACGGAAGGCUGCAGUCGAGAAUCUUUCGCAAUGCCCGAAAGGGUGACGAAGCGACGCCGCGUGAGUGAGGAAGGCCUUCGGGUUGUAAAACUCUGUCAGGAGUUAGGAAAUGUAAGUGUGCUAAUACCACAUUUAUUUGACGAAGGCUCCAAAGGAAGCCACGGCUAACUCUGUGCCAGCAGCCGCGGUAAUACAGAGGUGGCAAGCGUUGUUCGGAAUUAUUGGGCGUAAAGAGCACGUAGGUGGGUUUGUAAGUCAGAUGUGAAAGCCUUCUGUUCAACGGAAGAAUUGCAUCUGAAACUGCAAGUCUUGAGUGUAGGAGGGGAGAAUGGAACUUCUGGUGGAGCGGUGAAAUGCGUAGAUAUCAGAAGGAACGCCGGCGGCGAAAGCGAUUCUCUGGCCUAUUACUGACGCUCAGUGUGCGAAAGCUAGGGGAGCAAACGGGAUUAGAUACCCCGGUAGUCCUAGCCGUAAACGAUGGGCACUAAGUAGAGGGAAUUACCGAUGUUCUCUCUGCCGUAGCUAACGCAUUAAGUGCCCCGCCUGGGGAGUACGGCCGCAAGGCUAAAACUCAAAAGAAUUGACGGGGGCUCGCACAAGCGGUGGAGCAUGUGGCUUAAUUCGAUGCAACGCGAAGAACCUUACCGGGGCUUGACAUGGUAGAAGUAGGAACCCGAAAGGGUAACGAACGGUAUCCAGUCCGUAACUAUCACAGGUGUUGCAUGGCUGUCGUCAGCUCGUGUCGUGAGACGUUGGGUUAAGUCCCCUAACGAGCGAAACCCUUGUUUUUAGUUACCAGCGGGUUGUGCCGGGUACUCUAGAAAGACUGCCGUCGUCAAGACGGAGGAAGGUGGGGAUGACGUCAAGUCAUCAUGGCCCUUAUGCCCCGGGCUGCACACGCGCUACAAUGGUCGGUACAAACGGAAGCGAAGCCGAGAGGUGAAGCGAAUCCUAAAAAGCCGAUCUCAGUUCGGAUUGGAGGCUGAAAUUCGCCUCCAUGAAGUUGGAAUCGCUAGUAAUCGCGGAUCAGCAUUGUCGCGGUGAAUAUGUUCCCGAGCCUUGUACACACCGCCCGUCAAGCCACCCAAGCAGGAUGCACCCGAAAACAUUAUAUCUAACCAGGUUUACCUGGAGGAAAAUGUUGAAGGAGUGUUUUGUGAGGAGGACUAAGUCGUAACAAGGUAGUCGUAGGAGAACCUGCGGCUGGAUCACCUCCUUUCU